GAUUUCUGGUAUGGUAGGCCUAGUCCGCCGGCGUCAAGCCGUGUGAGUACCGGUGCCUGCCUGCCAUCCUUCUGGGGAGCGCGUCUACCCUUCACUGGGCCGGGCGCGUCACCUAGAUCGUUUACUUUGAAAAAAUUAGAGUGUUUAAAGCAGGCAGAUUGCUCUGAAUACAUUAGCAUGGAAUAAUAAGAUAGGACUUUGGUUCUAUUUUGUUGGUUUCUAUAACUGAAGUAAUGAUUGAUAGGGAUAGUUGGGGGUGCUAGUAUUGGCCGGUCAGAGGUGAAAUUCUUGGAUUCGGUCAAGACUAACUUAUGCGAAAGCAUU
rnacentral:rRNA from 1 species